rnacentral:rRNA from 14 species
CUAAGGAACUCGGCAAAAUGGCCUCGUAACUUCGGGAGAAGAGGUACCCUUAAUGGGUUGCAAGAACCAGACGCUGGCGACUGUUUACCAAAAACACAGGUCUCCGCAAAGUCGUAAGACGAUAUAUGGGGGCUGACACCUGCCCAGUGCCGGAAGGUUAAGGAAGUCGGUCAGGGCCUUGUGCCUAAAGCUGGCGACUGAAGCCCCGGUGAACGGCGGCCG